rnacentral:sRNA from 1 species
GCUGGGAGUGGUGGCACAUGCCUGUAAUCCCAGCAGCUCAAGAGGCUGAGGCAGGAGGAUCACGAGUUCAAAGCCAGCCUCAGCAACUUAGUGAGACACUAAGCAACUCAGUGAGACCCUGUCUCUA